CCUACGGGGGGCAGCAGUGGGGAAUAUUGCGCAAUGGGCGAAAGCCUGACGCAGCGACGCCGCGUGAGGGAUGAAGGUCUUCGGAUCGUAAACCUCUGUCAGCAGGGACGAACGGUCACUGUGCUAAUCAGCAGUGAAUUGACGGUACCUGCAAAGGAAGCACCGGCUAACUCCGUGCCAGCAGCCGCGGUAAUACGGAGGGUGCGAGCGUUAAUCGGAAUUACUGGGCGUAAAGCGCUCGUAGGCGGUAUGUCAAGUCAAGGGUGAAAGCCCCGCGCUCAACGUGGGAACUGCAUUUGAAACUGGCAAACUGGAGUGUGUGAGAGGAUAGUGGAAUUCCAGGUGUAGGAGUGAAAUCCGUAGAUAUCUGGAGGAACAUCAGUGGCGAAGGCGACUAUCUGGCACAUAACUGACGCUGAGGAGCGAAAGCGUGGGUAGCAAACAGGAUUAGAUACCCCGGUAGUC
rnacentral:rRNA from 1 species